AAAAAGCGCAGUCAAAUAUCGGCCAUCAGUCGAUGGUUUGGAGGAAAUUACUUUUAAUUAGAUUUGGUUUUGUUCGUGGCAAGUCGUAUUCUCGCUAUCGCCGAAGAAAUCGGAUGUGCUUAUAGACCAGACGAAAGAAGAAAACUUCUUCGAUUAAUUGAACAGUUACUCUCUAACUUAAUCUAAGUAACGAAGGUACACAU
rnacentral:misc_RNA from 1 species